rnacentral:rRNA from 1 species
GACGAACGCUGGCGGCGUGCUUAACACAUGCAAGUCGAACGGAAAGGCCCUGCUUUUGUGGGGUGCUCGAGUGGCGAACGGGUGAGUAACACGUGAGUAACCUGCCCUUGACUUUGGGAUAACUUCAGGAAACUGGGGCUAAUACCGGAUAGGAGCUCCUGCUGCAUGGUGGGGGUUGGAAAGUUUCGGCGGUUGGGGAUGGACUCGCGGCUUAUCAGCUUGUUGGUGGGGUAGUGGCUUACCAAGGCUUUGACGGGUGGCCGGCCUGAGAGGGUGACCGGCCACAUUGGGACUGAGAGACGGCCCAGACUCCUACGGGAGGCAGCAGUGGGGAAUAUUGCACAAUGGGCGGAAGCCUGAUGCAGCAACGCCGCGUGCGGGAUGACGGCCUUCGGGUUGUAAACCGCUUUCGCCUGUGACGAAGCGUGAGUGACGGUAAUGGGUAAAGAAGCACCGGCUAACUACGUG